AUCGUAAUAAAAUUUAGUUUAGGCAUACUAAGGUUAAGCUUUAUGACAAAUAAUAACAGAAAGAUCAUAAUAUUGAUAUCUAGAUAAUCUAAAUACGACUGACGUGUCCCUUUAUGCCGGUCCUGGGUGUGAUGGUGAUGCGAUUUGCGAUUUUCGAUCUUAUUUCAUUCUGAAUCUGAAUCAGACGAGAAUAUCGGAGAAUCGGAGGUAUCUCUGUGAAUGUUGGACAUUAAUCCAACGAGAACUAAGAUUUUGAAUAAAAUUUAAGUUGUUUAAAGUUAAGUUAAAAGUGUAAAAAUUGUAGUAUUAGUUGGAGCUAUAUUUGUCUACCAGUUAAGAAUUAUGACCCGAUCUAUAAAUAGUACACUGGGUGUUAUGGUUAUCAUAAUUGCAAGUCUGGCUAUAAAAUUUUCUCCUUUAUAUCGUCUCUGCUUUUCAAAUUUUUCCAUGAAGUGCCCUUUACCAUCUAAUCUUACGUCCAUAAAAACUUUUGAUGAUGUACGAGGUCUUCCUAUACUAUACUUCUUGUACUAAGAGUCAAUUUUAGGUAUGGAAUGCUCAAGAUCGACGAAAGUCU
rnacentral:lncRNA from 1 species